GGUUAAGCGACUAAGCGUACACGGUGGAUGCCCUGGCAGUCAGAGGCGAUGAAGGACGUGCUAAUCUGCGAUAAGCGUCGGUAAGGUGAUAUGAACCGUUAUAACCGGCGAUUUCCGAAUGGGGAAACCCAGUGUGUUUCGACACACUAUCAUUAACUGAAUCCAUAGGUUAAUGAGGCGAACCGGGGGAACUGAAACAUCUAAGUACCCCGAGGAAAAGAAAUCAACCGAGAUUCCCCCAGUAGCGGCGAGCGAACGGGGAGGAGCCCAGAGCCUGAAUCAGUGUGUGUGUUAGUGGAAGCGUCUGGAAAGGCGCGCGAUACAGGGUGACAGCCCCGUACACAAAAAUGCACAUAUUGUGAGCUCGAUGAGUAGGGCGGGACACGUGGUAUCCUGUCUGAAUAUGGGGGGACCAUCCUCCAAGGCUAAAUACUCCUGACUGACCGAUAGUGAACCAGUACCGUGAGGGAAAGGCGAAAAGAACCCCGGCGAGGGGAGUGAAAAAGAACCUGAAACCGUGUACGUACAAGCAGUGGGAGCACGCUUAGGCGUGUGACUGCGUACCUUUUGUAUAAUGGGUCAGCGACUUAUAUUCUGUAGCAAGGUUAACCGAAUAGGGGAGCCGAAGGGAAACCGAGUCUUAACUGGGCGUUAAGUUGCAGGGUAUAGACCCGAAACCCGGUGAUCUAGCCAUGGGCAGGUUGAAGGUUGGGUAACACUAACUGGAGGACCGAACCGACUAAUGUUGAAAAAUUAGCGGAUGACUUGUGGCUGGGGGUGAAAGGCCAAUCAAACCGGGAGAUAGCUGGUUCUCCCCGAAAGCUAUUUAGGUAGCGCCUCGUGAAUUCAUCUCCGGGGGUAGAGCACUGUUUCGGCAAGGGGGUCAUCCCGACUUACCAACCCGAUGCAAACUGCGAAUACCGGAGAAUGUUAUCACGGGAGACACACGGCGGGUGCUAACGUCCGUCGUGAAGAGGGAAACAACCCAGACCGCCAGCUAAGGUCCCAAAGUCAUGGUUAAGUGGGAAACGAUGUGGGAAGGCCCAGACAGCCAGGAUGUUGGCUUAGAAGCAGCCAUCAUUUAAAGAAAGCGUAAUAGCUCACUGGUCGAGUCGGCCUGCGCGGAAGAUGUAACGGGGCUAAACCAUGCACCGAAGCUGCGGCAGCGACGCUGAUGCGUUGUUGGGUAGGGGAGCGUUCUGUAAGCCUGCGAAGGUGUGCUGUGAGGCAUGCUGGAGGUAUCAGAAGUGCGAAUGCUGACAUAAGUAACGAUAAAGCGGGUGAAAAGCCCGCUCGCCGGAAGACCAAGGGUUCCUGUCCAACGUUAAUCGGGGCAGGGUGAGUCGACCCCUAAGGCGAGGCCGAAAGGCGUAGUCGAUGGGAAACAGGUUAAUAUUCCUGUACUUGGUGUUACUGCGAAGGGGGGACGGAGAAGGCUAUGUUGGCCGGGCGACGGUUGUCCCGGUUUAAGCGUGUAGGCUGGUUUUCCAGGCAAAUCCGGAAAAUCAAGGCUGAGGCGUGAUGACGAGGCACUACGGUGCUGAAGCAACAAAUGCCCUGCUUCCAGGAAAAGCCUCUAAGCAUCAGGUAACAUCAAAUCGUACCCCAAACCGACACAGGUGGUCAGGUAGAGAAUACCAAGGCGCUUGAGAGAACUCGGGUGAAGGAACUAGGCAAAAUGGUGCCGUAACUUCGGGAGAAGGCACGCUGAUAUGUAGGUGAAGUCCCUUGCGGAUGGAGCUGAAAUCAGUCGAAGAUACCAGCUGGCUGCAACUGUUUAUUAAAAACACAGCACUGUGCAAACACGAAAGUGGACGUAUACGGUGUGACGCCUGCCCGGUGCCGGAAGGUUAAUUGAUGGGGUCAGCGCAAGCGAAGCUCUUGAUCGAAGCCCCGGUAAACGGCGGCCGUAACUAUAACGGUCCUAAGGUAGCGAAAUUCCUUGUCGGGUAAGUUCCGACCUGCACGAAUGGCGUAAUGAUGGCCAGGCUGUCUCCACCCGAGACUCAGUGAAAUUGAACUCGCUGUGAAGAUGCAGUGUACCCGCGGCAAGACGGAAAGACCCCGUGAACCUUUACUAUAGCUUGACACUGAACAUUGAGCCUUGAUGUGUAGGAUAGGUGGGAGGCUUGGAAGUGUGGACGCCAGUCUGCAUGGAGCCGACCUUGAAAUACCACCCUUUAAUGUUUGAUGUUCUAACGUUGACCCGUAAUCCGGGUUGCGGACAGUGUCUGGUGGGUAGUUUGACUGGGGCGGUCUCCUCCUAAAGAGUAACGGAGGAGCACGAAGGUUGGCUAAUCCUGGUCGGACAUCAGGAGGUUAGUGCAAUGGCAUAAGCCAGCUUGACUGCGAGCGUGACGGCGCGAGCAGGUGCGAAAGCAGGUCAUAGUGAUCCGGUGGUUCUGAAUGGAAGGGCCAUCGCUCAACGGAUAAAAGGUACUCCGGGGAUAACAGGCUGAUACCGCCCAAGAGUUCAUAUCGACGGCGGUGUUUGGCACCUCGAUGUCGGCUCAUCACAUCCUGGGGCUGAAGUAGGUCCCAAGGGUAUGGCUGUUCGCCAUUUAAAGUGGUACGCGAGCUGGGUUUAGAACGUCGUGAGACAGUUCGGUCCCUAUCUGCCGUGGGCGCUGGAGAACUGAGGGGGGCUGCUCCUAGUACGAGAGGACCGGAGUGGACGCAUCACUGGUGUUCGGGUUGUCAUGCCAAUGGCACUGCCCGGUAGCUAAAUGCGGAAGAGAUAAGUGCUGAAAGCAUCUAAGCACGAAACUUGCCCCGAGAUGAGUUCUCCCUGACCCUUUAAGGGUCCUGAAGGAACGUUGAAGACGACGACGUUGAUAGGCCGGGUGUGUAAGCGCAGCGAUGCGUUGAGCUAACCGGUACUAAUGAACCGUGAGGCUUAACCUU
rnacentral:rRNA from 1 species